GUUCUUGUUUUGGCAACUUACAAACAAAAUUUGGAAAAUACAAAUAAGACUAGCGUGUCUCCUGCACAAGGUUGAAUUGUGAAUUUAUGAAACAUUCCAUAGUAGG
ensembl:snRNA U6 U6 spliceosomal RNA